rnacentral:rRNA from 2 species
ACUUUUGACGUUACCUUUAGAAGAAGCACCGGCUAACUCCGUGCCAGCAGCCGCGGUAAUACGGAGGGUGCGAGCGUUAAUCGGAAUUACUGGGCGUAAAGCGCGCGUAGGCGGUUUGUUAAGUCGGAUGUGAAAGCCCCGGGCUCAACCUGGGAACUGCACCCGAUACUGGCCGACUUGAGUGCGAGAGAGGGAGGUAGAAUUCCAUGUGUAGCGGUGAAAUGCGUAGAUAUAUGGAGGAAUACCGGUGGCGAAGGCGGCCUCCUGGCUCGACACUGACGCUGAGGUGCGAAAGCGUGGGUAGCAAACAGGAUUAGAUACCCUGGUAGUCCACGCCGUAAACGAUGUCUACUAGCCGUUGGGGAACUUGAUUCUUUAGUGGCGCAGCUAACGCAAUAAGUAGACCGCCUGGGGAGUACGGCCGCAAGGUUAAAACUCAAAUGAAUUGACGGGGGCCCGCACAAGCGGUGGAGCAUGUGGUUUAAUUCGAUGCAACGCGAAGAACCUUACCAGGUCUUGACAUCCUGAGAACUUAGCAGAGAUGCUUUGGUGCCUUCGGGAACUCAGAGACAGGUGCUGCAUGGCUGUCGUCAGCUCGUGUUGUGAAAUGUUGGGUUAAGUCCCGUAACGAGCGCAACCCCUGUCCUUAGUUGCCAGCACGUAAUGGUGGGAACUCUAAGGAGACUGCCGGUGACAAACCGGAGGAAGGUGGGGACGACGUCAAGUCAUCAUGGCCCUUACGACCUGGGCUACACACGUGCUACAAUGGGAAGUACAAAGGGUUGCGAAGCGGCGACGUGGAGCCAAUCCCAUAAAACUUUUCGUAGUCCGGAUUGAAGUCUGCAACUCGACUUCAUGAAGUCGGAAUCGCUAGUAAUCGCGAAUCAGAAUGUCGCGGUGAAUACGUUCCCGGGCCUUGUACACACCGCCCGUCACACCAUGGGAGUGGGUUGCUCCAGAAGUGGUUAGUCUAACCUUCGGGGGGACGAUCACCACGGAGUGAUUCAUGACUGGGGUGAAGUCGUAACAAGGUAGCCCUAGGGGAACCUGGGGCUGGAUCACCUCCUUAAACGAA